rnacentral:rRNA from 1 species
UACGAAGGGGGCUAGCGUUGUUCGGAUUUACUGGGCGUAAAGCGCACGUAGGCGGAUAUUUAAGUCAGAGGUGAAAUCCCAGGGCUCAACCCUGGAACUGCCUUUGAUACUGGAUAUCUCGAGUAUGGAAGAGGUGAGUGGAAUUCCGAGUGUAGAGGUAAAAUUCGUAGAUAUUCGGAGGAACACCAGUGGCGAAGGCGACUCACUGGCCCGUUACUGACGCUGAGGCGCGAAAGCGUGGGGAGCAAACA